rnacentral:misc_RNA from 1 species
UUACAGAACUCAUGCCAUGGAUCAUCCCCGACAACCAUUACAUCAUUCUCACUGUCAGUAUACAAGAUCCGCCACCCUUUCUUAUGAUCUCGUAGAAAGCCUUCCAUGCUAAAUAGUCGCUCUAGUUCACUCAACAGGUCAUCAUAGCCAUUCAGUCUUGAGAGAUCAAUAGCUCUUCCAACCAAGCUGCCCUGCUUAUGAACCUUUGUACAACUCCGCUUACCAGAGUUUUGUGAGUUUGGAGUAGGUGAUUCGGCAGUCAACGAGAAUCCAAACAGCUUGCAGCCACUAGCAGUCCCAUUAAAAGAGUUAUCCUUUUGAUUUAUUAGAUUUACCCCUAAGGCUGGUGAUGCAGAAAUAGUUUCCUGUGACUUGUGCUCACUUGAUUGAUUUGGCUUUCCAACUUCAUCCCUAGCAACACCAGUCUGAAUAGAAGAUGCACCAAAUUGGAGUUUUUCUCUUGGGAAGUUAGUAGCAUAAGAACACAUUCUAGGAUCUUGGCCAGUUUUAUAUAAAUCAGCAUAAGGAAAAUAC